ACCCUUUUAUAGUUCAUAAGCGUGAUGAUUUUCACAUGCGUGUGUGAGAUCUGUCUCCCUCAAAUCUUGUUACAACAUUCACAUCGGCAUGUUACUCAUCUGAAC